rnacentral:tRNA from 1 species
CCCUUCGUGGUGUAGUGGUCAGCACGCUGGGCUUUAGCCCAGAGAGCUGUGGUUCGAAUCCCGGCGAAGACG